GUGUGUACACUUUGUGUACAUGGUAGAAUCUGCAAGUAAGUAAGCAGGUAUAUGUAAGCAGCGCUGUCACAAGUAUAUCUCUGCCCUUGCUGGUUUUGCCAGAACAGUGUCAUCAGUGUCAUCAUCAGUGGCUGUUAUUUUUUUUCGAAUCGAGGUGUGAUUUUAUCAACGAGAUUGUCCUUUUAUAGCAAUCAUGAGAGCAGUCGCAGUUUGUACGCUAUUCCAGGAUUAGAUUAUUGCUCAUGAAGAUGUAUUGUUGCCAUAUACUACAAAUGAGAAAGCAGCAUUGCAACACGAAUUGUUCGAUAAAUUUUUGACCUAUCAUCCAGACAAGGAACCAUGUUUUGUAACAUAAGAGAUCUUCCGAGCAUGGCAGAAAUAUAUAUAUAAUAUAUAUAUUACCAUUUACAUGGUACCAUUUACAUGGAUUUUCAAUAUAGUAGUCAUGGGAACAUUUAGGAUGAAAAGAGAAGACGGAUAUUCAUUUGAUUUUGUAGAAUACCACCUUUUUCUUUGGAAUCGAAGGAAGAAGAGCCUAAAGUAGAAACACUAUGCCUUAUGUGACAAUUGUUGUUUAGAGACUUUAGUGUAUGAUUUGUCUAAAAUAAAUAAAAUUAGAUAGCUCAAAGUUUAAUAAUUUUGU